ensembl:lncRNA
GUUUCCAUGGCAACUCUGACAUCACCAGGCUCAGCGUCUGCAUGGCCAGGCCCUGAAUGGAGACGCCUGGGAGUUCACGCUGCAGCCCCAGGGAGGAGGGCGGCCUGCUGGAGUGGGCCUUCCCCGGUCCCAGGCCCCAUGCAGAUCCGGGUUCAAAGCCCAGCCCUGCCCCUGACUUGCCAGGUGACUCUGAGGAAAUCAGGGGCCUGAGACUCAGUCUCCUCAUCUAUGAAAUAGAGCUAACAGUAUCUCCUCUGCAGUGAGGGUGAAACGAAAUCGUGGAUGAUAGACAGAUUUCUCAGUAAAGAACCUCCGGCCCCAGCAUGGUAUCGAGUGGCCUCCAUGGAGCAGGGGCCAGCUGCUAGGAUGAGGACGCCAUACUCCCUCCUGGGGGAAUCCUGGGGCCUCCUGCUCCUCUGAGGCUGAAAUCGUGCCAGAGAUGCCCAGAGAGCCAUGUGUGCGGGACCCUGCAUGAGGCUCUUUCAUGCGAGUUACGUCACUGGGCCUUCACGAGACCUGCCGAGGAAGGUAGUACCUUUUCCAGGGCACCAAGAAGGAAAGGGAGUCACAGCUCACACUCCUUGGAGCCAGGGUGACCCAGGCCUGUCUUGUGUGGCACACAGUCUCUGACUAGGGCUCACACAGACAGUCUGGGCUCCCGCCUCCCCAAGAUCUCCAAAAGCUGGCAAGAACUCCCUCUGCCCCCUGAGAUUGUGGCUGGGGGUGGGGGUCCUCCUCCUUCCUUCUUCUCACUAGAGUGUUGACAUCAAGAGAGCAGACGGGGACAGGUGAAACCCUGCUGGAGAAACAGUCCAGCUAACAGUAUACACAGUGGCACCGACGCCCCGGUACUGAGCACACAGAUGUCUCAGGGCCGGGCUGGCCAACCCAGCUGGAAGGGGGAAAUGAAGGGCUGGUAUGAAGCUUUGCUCUCAGAGUGAUUGUCCUUCCCAAGACAAACAUCUGCAGGUCCUUAGACCAGAAUCAUUCUGUCCGGGGGGUCCUUUUCUGGAGGCAGGGCUGGCAUGGCACAAGUCCAGGAGCCACAGACAAGCCUGUGUCCCAGGCUGGCAUCCUGAGACCUGGGACAUCGGUCACAUCAGACCGACCAGCUGGGAUGCUUUGAACAAAGGCCCUAAUCUCGCUGACUCUGUCUCUUUGUCUGUAAACCUAGCCCUGCCUAAGAAGAAGGUUGCUGUGGGGGCGAUGAGAUCCGGGUGCCCAGCUCUGUAAUCAGGCAGGCGCUGAACAAAAGGAGGAGGGAGGCCCCCACCCUCUGACCACACAAUUGAGGAGAUCCAAGGCCAAAAAAAACAUUUGACUCUGUUGGAAGAACCAGAGAUUGUAAGGUGAAGCCCCCGCCCCCGCCCCGGCCUGCUCUGCUCUUAGGCUCAGCCAUAUUUAGCCAGGUCUGAGUCAGGCCAGGAUGGCCAGUGACUCAUAGUGACCUGAGUUUUCUGGGCCUCUGUGGUUCCCCCUGUAAAAUGGGCACAGCGGCUCUUGGUUAAGCAAUCUCCCAAUGACAGGCCUUCGAUGGCUGUGGGACUCUGUUAUUACCAUCACCACUCCUCCUUGCUCUUACUCAUCUGGCUGGGAAAAUGUGUGAAAGAGGGAGAUUCCAGAAAAGAACAAAAAAGAAAGAAAAUAAGCUUCAUUCACAGUCCAGUGCCCAGAGCUAGCUGAGCCUCACAUGGCUCCCUCCUCAGAGCUGGUGGCCCCUUCCCUGUCACUUUUCCACAAAUGACCAAAGACAAGUUACCAUUUAACCAGCCCAUGGGAAUUGGGGCCAAACUCUCCAAAUGGCAAACCAGCAGGACCUGUUUGCUGGGAUGAAAUAACCCCACUGGACCUGGUGCUUGGCUGCCCUCCCACACGUCUCCACCUCCCGACAUGCCCAGCCUGGCAAGGUGACCUUGGCAAGUCUCCUAACCUUUCAUGGGCAGACAAGGGGGGAGGGGCCACUGGGAGGAGCCGAGGCAGGGCUUAGGGGAGAACACGCAGACAGUCAAGAGGUGAGCCAGCAGUGUCCCCCAGACUUGUCUAGACACGUCCAGAGCAAGCCACAGUGCACUGGAGAGGCAGGCUGGGAUGGGAGGGGAGCUUCAGUGAGAACUGAAGGGGAGGGGCCUCCCCAAAGUCUACAGACUGGGGAGUGUGGGAGCCAGGGAGGGGGCAGAGCCCACGGCCAGGUCAGCCAUGGGAGGUCUCCCCUCUUAGGUUCUUCUUGAAGCAGUGUCGGGUUUUAACCCCCCAGGGGCCCCCACCUGUCUGAUACCCGUGGGUGCCAUCAACGCUUAUUGAAUCUCUGCUUGGGUCUAGCCCUUCUCCCCACGAUCCUCAGCCCUCAGCCAGUUCAGCACCUGGAUUCCUGGACUAUCAGGGCCCGG